rnacentral:tRNA from 1 species
GGGGGAUUAGCUCAGCGGGAGAGCGUCCGCUUCACACGCGAAAGGUCACUGGUUCGAUCCCAGUAUCCCCCACCA